UGCCAAGAAAACUCCAAAAGUAGAGUCAUGAAAAGUUAGAUAUGACUGCAAACAAAUGGACAAUAUCAAGAGUUGAAGAAGUAUGUCAGAAUGAAUUUCCAAUGGGCUGGGACAGUAGAGUUCUGUGCUCCUUGAGAGGAGGGGGAAAGAACAGGUCAGGGAGUCAGAGUAGUAGUGGCAGUGGCAGGGAUGCUGGAUUGGGACUUUGUAAGAUGGACCUGAUGAAGAGAAAAGAACACAAAGACUGGUUUCUGUAUUCAGACCCAUUCUAAGACACUUAUUAGCUACAUGGAUCUUUACAUGCUAAUUUUGUUCUGUUAUUGAUAGGAUUCUUAUAAACAAAGAACUGCGAAUUUGCCAAUUAUCCCUAAUAUUGGUCUUUUAGCAAGUCUCUUGUUUAUAUCUAGUAAAAAAGAAUGAUAGUAGAAUCAUAUUCAGAACUAUGAGGGACUUUUGAGGUCAUGUGGUGCAAUUUCUACCCCUACUUUUUACAAAUGAGGAAACUGAGGAUCAGAAAGGGAAUUGAAUUGCCCCAAAUUACUCAAAGAGUAUAGAUGCAGAGUUGGGAAGUGAAUGUUGACCAAGUGACUCUAAGUCCUCUUCCAAUAAGCCAUAUGAGGAAGGGGCUCUGGUUUUCAUGUAAUAAUAAUAAUAGCCCAUAUCUUAUACACAUACUCUUUACAAAGUGCUUUGUAUAAUUUAUCAUGUGCAGGAAUGACAGGUAAAAGAAAUUACCUUAUGUUCCCUUGUACUAAUCCAAUUCCAUCUCUCCCCCUAAGCAUCCCCAUUGUACCAUUAGUUAAGGCUGCUGGCAAUAGUUCCAGUUUCAAGAAUAUUUUUGUGUCAGUUCAAUAAUAUUGUGCAUUCUAUUCAUUUUAGGGAGCUGGGGUGUGUCCAAUGAAGAAGAUGAUUGGGAUAAUGAGGAAAUUUGAGGUCAUGUUUUAUGAAGAUCAAUGGAAAGAACUCUGGGAAACUUGGGAUGGAUAAGAGAAAAAUUGAGUGGGUAGGAAGCACAGUUGUUGGCUUCAAAAACUUGAAGGGUCCUCAUACUCUAGAAAGUCUAGACAUGUUCUGCUUAUCUCUACUCAGCAGAGCCAGGAGUUUUGGAUAGCAGUUACAAAGAGUACAUUUUUGUUCAAGUCUCUCCUCCCUCAAGUUCUCGUUACAAAUAAGUAGAAUCAAGAAAACCAAAUCAUUGUUGAUCAUGUCUGAAUGUUUGUCGCUUUCUGCUCUACAAACUGCAUCAUCUCUAUUUGAAGAGGAAGGCGGCAUGCUGCAUCAUUAGUCUUUGGAAGUCAUGGUUAGUUGCUGCAUUGAUCGAAGUUCUUAAAUCUUUCCAAGCCAUUUUUUAUAUUAUUGUGAUUAUUGUAUAUAAAAUUUUCUCCUUGUUCUACUCUUCAUUUUGUAACAGUUUAUGUAGUUCUUUCAAGUUUCUCUGAAUUCCUCACAUUUGUCAUUUUAAAAAUAUAGUCUAAUAACAUUCCAUUGCAUUGGUAUUUUUUCAACUAUUUCUGAAGUGACAGACUUUGUUUUAAUGUUUGCUAAAUAUGUUUGUCCUUUCCCUCUAUCUUUGACCUCUUUGAGAUUUAUCUUAUCAGAAGUUGCCGAGUGAUGUCAGGAAGACCAUUUAUUGGAUUAUGUUGUAGGGGAUUUAUAUUCAAAUAUGAAUUGGACAAGAUGGCCCUUCUCGUCCCGACCAACUCUGAGAUGUGGACUGAGCACCUACUAAGUCCAAGUCACAACACGUUCUAAGUGUGACAGGAUAUGAAGGAAAUCUAAAGACACUGAUCUCUGCCCUCUAUGAGUUUACAAACUCGUGCGGGGAUAAAGAUUUGCUUACUCAAUAAAUAAAAAACAAAAGAAUAUGACAACAUAACUAUGGAAUUGUAGAAAAAGUCAUUGCUGCAAGGGAACAGAGAUCUACCGGUGCAAACAUCAAACCCGUUAGCUCCUCGGGAUGAUAGACGGUGUCCUGUCGGAGAGGAGACACUUGAAAGCGAACUAUCAAAGCAUCUUUCAUAGUUAGAUUGGCAAACAAGAGGAGCUGCUCACCUAAUCAAGAGUAGUAUGGUCACACCUGGGAUCUGCUUGGAGUUCUGAGAAGAAUUCAGAAAUCUCAGUAUGUUCUAGUAAUAUCUUCAAAUAGUUAAUGUUGUAGAAUAAAAAUUCAGACCCCUAUGAGCUUUGCCAUCAUAUAGGCCUUGGGAAGUCACUUAAUUUUACUGAGCCUAAGUUUCCUUAUCUGUGAGAUGAGCUUUUCCAAUUCUGAGGUUCUCUAUUCUAGGGGUCCCUUGAAGCUCUAUUGAUUCAUUAUAAAUGUUCGAAUAGAUUAUAAGCUUCUUGGGAUCAAAGACCGUUUUCACUUUUGUUUUUGGAUGCCCAUUUAAUUAAGAGAUACUUUCAUAUAUACUUGUUGACUGAUAGUCUAAGGAUCAGAAUCAUAAUUUUAAUUUUUUUUGCUCAGGGCAAAUAUCACAAACUAGGUCCUCAAUUCAGCCAGAAUCAGUGACAUAGAGGGGUAUGAGAUACAGAGACCCCCAGGACCCCUGCUCAGGGCUUCCUCAAAGAGUUGGGAAUGGAAAGUGCCUUUCCAGGUUCGCUUCCAUACUAUGAUGAAACAGUGGAGGGGGACUUCUGCUGAUGUUAUUCAGUUAUUUUCAAUCAUAUAGAACUCUUCAUGACCC